AUUGAACGCUGGCGGCAUGCCUAACACAUGCAAGUCGAGCGGAGCGACGGACGGGUGAGUAAUUCCUACGAAUCUGCCCGGUCUUGAGGGAUACCGUCCGUACACGGGCGCUAAUCCCAUAUACUACUUGCUGAGCCUAGGUCGUAUUAGCUAGUUGGAUGGGUAAAGGCAUACCAAGGCGUCGACCCGUAACUGGUCUGAGAGGAUGACCAGUCACACUGGAACGGAGACACGGUCCAGACUCCUACGGGAGGCAGCAGUGGGGAAUAUUGGGCAAUGGGCGAAAGGCUGAUCCAGCCAUGCCGCGUGUGUGAAGAAGGUCUUCGGAUUGUAAAGCUCUUUCAGUUGGGAGGCGUUACCAACAGAAUAAGCAACGGCUAACUUCGUGCCAGCAGCCGCGGUAAUAC
rnacentral:rRNA from 1 species